rnacentral:RNase_P_RNA from 1 species
UCAGAUGGCCGGAUGGCCGCUGUUCUUCUUGCGAAGGGCAGAGGAAAGUCCGGGCUCCACGGAAGCGCGGUGCCGGGUAACGCCCGGCGGGGGUGACCCCAGGGAAAGUGCCACAGAAAGGAAACCGCCUUUGUUUCGGCAAGGGUAAGGGUGAAAGGGUGCGGUAAGAGCGCACCGCCGCACUGGUAACAGGGCGGGCAUGGUAAACCCCACCAGGAGCAAAACCGAAUAGGGAUGGCAGGGGCUUUGCGCCCCGGGUCUGUUUCCGGACCGUCAUCCGGGUUGGUUGCACGAGGCGUUUGGUAACAGGCGUCCCAGAUGAAUGGUCAUCGACCGGGGCUUUGGCUCCGGGAUACAGAACCCGGCUUACAGGCCAUCUGACAUU